CGGGACUGGUGAGUAACGCGUGAGGAACCUGCCUUUCGGAGGGGGACAACAGUUGGAAACGACUGCUAAUACCGCAUGAUACAUUUGGGCCGCAUGGUCUGAAUGUCAAAGAUUUAUCGCCGAAAGAUGGCCUCGCGUCUGAUUAGCUAGUUGGUGGGGUAACGGCCCACCAAGGCGACGAUCAGUAGCCGGACUGAGAGGUUGGCCGGCCACAUUGGGACUGAGAUACGGCCCAGACUCCUACGGGAGGCAGCAG
rnacentral:rRNA from 1 species